GCCAACGAUCUUUGCCACGUUGAAAGCACCGGUUCUCGUCAGAUCACCGAAGUUAAGCAACGUUGGGCGCGGUUAGUACUAAGAUGGGCAACCACUUGGGAACACCACGCAUUGUUGGCA